CCUACGGGUGGCAGCAGUGAGGAAUAUUGGUCAAUGGGCGGAAGUCUGAACCAGCCAAGCCGCGUGAAGGAAGACGGCUCUAAGAGUUGUAAACUUCUUUUGUCAAGGGAUAAAAUCAGGCACGCGAGCCUGACUGAAAGUACUUUAAGAAUAAGGAUCGGCUAACUCCGUGCCAGCAGCCGCGGUAAUACGGAGGAUUCGAGCGUUAUCCGGAUUUAUUGGGGUUAAAGGGGUCGUAGGCGGGUGGUUAAGUCAGCUGUGAAAUCCCGGGGCCCAACCUUGGGAUGGCCGUUGAUACUGGCCGUCUUGAGAAGAGUUGAGGUAGGCGGAAUGCGUGGUGUAGCGGUGAAAUGCUUAGAUAUCACGAAGAACUCCGAUUGCGAAGGCAGCAUACCAAGCUCCCUCUGACGUUGAGGCACGAAAGCGUGGGUAUCAAACAGGAUUAGAUACCCGAGUAGUC
rnacentral:rRNA from 1 species